rfam:Bombyx mori DNA, contig: Bm_scaf7_contig6207, strain: p50T/Dazao, build 2, whole genome shotgun sequence.
CUGUACUAUCUUGUCUGUGGUUCGAGGGUGAGAUUGUCACAGCAGUAUAGGGGGUACAUUCGAGAACCGUAAGACAAUUAAUAUAAA